rnacentral:rRNA from 1 species
CAAAAACAUUGCUUCUUGAACAAAAUAAAAAGUAAUUCCUGCCCAGUGAUUCAACGGCCGCGGUAUCCUAACCGUGCAAAGGUAGCAUAAUCACUUGCUCAUUAAUUGUGGGCUAGAAUGAACGGACCAACGAAAUAAAGACUGUCUCCAUAAGUCUCAUAAAAAUUAAUCUCUAACUGAAGAAUGUUAGAUUAUGUCGAAGGACAAGAAGACCCUAUAGAGCUUCAUUUUAAUAUAAAAUAUUUAUACUAAAAUUCGGUUGGGGCGACCAGGGAAAUUAUUAAUCAUCCCUUAUAAAAGAUUUAUUAAUCUUAAUCAUGACCCUUUAAUAAGAUCAAUAAAACAAGCUACCUUAGGGAUAACAGGCUAAUUUUCCUAAAGAGUCCUUAUCAAUAGGAAAGUUUGGCACCUCGAUGUUGGCUUAGGGAAUCUAUAUGGCGCAAAAGUCAUAUAAAGAUGGUUUGUUCAACCAAUAACACCCUACAUGAUCU